rnacentral:rRNA from 1 species
AGCUCCAAUAGCGUAUAUUAAAGUUGUUGCAGUUAAAAGCUCGUAGUUGGAUUUGUGGUUGGAGAGGUCCGCCGUUGCUAUGCUUCGUGUUGGAUCUUUCCGUCCAUCCUUGGGUGGAUCCUGUGUGGCAUUCAGUUGUCGUGCAGGGGAUGCCCAUCGUUUACUGUGAAAAAUUAGAGUGUUCAAAGCAGGCUUACGCCUUGAAUAUAUUAGCAUGGAAUAAUAAGAUAGGACCUGGGUACUAUUUUGUUGGUUUGCGCACCGAGGUAAUGAUUAAUAGGGACAGUUGGGGGUAUUCGUAUUCCAUUGUCAGAGGUGAAAUUCUUGGAUUUUUGGAAGACGAACUACUGCGAAAGCAUUUACCAAGGAUGUUUUCA